AUGAGAUUUCUGACAUUUUCCAAUCAGGAAAACCAUGUGAGCCCCGCGCUUUGGAUUCACACCGGAGCAGAUGCCCGCGGAGCCCCGCUGCCUUUCUCACCCGCUCCAAGUUUUCCCCAGCGCACAAAAACUCUCAGCAAGUCACCCGGAACCCGCUCACCGUUCCAUCCGAGUCCCACCAGCACCCACGAGCAUAGCGAUUAUUAUUAUAAUUAUAAUAAUAAUAAUUUCAUUAUCUCUCUGGUGGUAUCAAUUAGAAGCACUUUACUGCAGGUAAUGACUAAGAUUCCAGUACAAAAUGACAUUAUUAUUAUUAUCCCCAUCUAUAAUUUCAGAGUGGAUACACAAGAUAUGGGAAAAAAGGGAAGUUUAAGUUCAACCAAAGGUAGCCUUAAAAGUGAGAAGAGUUUUAUUGUUGGAGGUAAGGAAGGAAACUGAGGCUGAAUGGCUCAUUCAAGUGUGGGCAUGUGUGUUCCUAACCUCAUAUACAUGUGCACAUGCGGAUGUGCCGGAGAUUUCAAAGGGCCUCUCCGAAAAAACUAAAGGAAAUAUACACAAAACUAGCAUCCUCUUAUUCAUGGCUUGACUGGAACAGUUUCCUCAAAGUAGCUUGUGUGAGAGCACAGCUGUGUGGUUAAGAGAAGGGUACAGAGCAGAGAGAGAGAGAGAGAGAGAGAGAGAGAGAGAGAGAGAGAGAGAGAGAGAGAGAGAGGUGUCCUCAGAAACCCAGUAGCAAAUAUUUGCAUUCCUCAAAGCGCGGGAGUGUUGUUCUUCGCUCUCUGCUGUUUAUCUGAGGAGAAGGAGUAAAGGCAGAAGUUUGAAAGUCUGCACAAGUUGUUAAUGAUUAGUUCCAGUUUAACCCCCCCCCCCCCCAAUUAACAAUGACAAAUGUUUUGUUUCAUUCACGUGCUCAUGGUUGCACACAUGCUCCAUGCAUGCAGGUGUGGACUUUCAGGCCAUAAGCUGUUUUAUUUGGAAUAAACACACAUAGCAGCAUUCUCUUAGCCUGUUCUUAGACCAAAUUAAUUGGACCUUGGUGACAUCCAUCACAGGGUUGUCAUGGCGCUGACCUUUCCACUGAAGCGAUUCAUAACCAGGAAGUUACAUGAGCCAGGUGGCUGCCUAAUCCGUCACAUGCUCCACCACGAUGCUCCAUCACAAACACCACCUUUCAGAUGAGCCUGGGACAAGCUGGCUGACAACUAAGUGUGUUUACCAUCUCUGCUGUUGGAAUAUCAUUCGACAUCACCUAAAAACGGUCAUGCAACCCUCCAUCUUGACUCGUACACUUCAGUAAACAUGGUCAGCAGCAAAGUUUAGCACUCCUCAAGGGGUCGUGUCCAGCGGCGUUAUUUUGGAUUCAAACUUUGAAACAUCGUCACCUGCCAUGAAGCUAACACACUGGUAUUGGUGACUAUAGUUUCGUCUUUGCUUGAGUUGUGCUACUCACAAUAAUCACGUACGCGGCGGGCUCCAUGAGCAGAACCAGUACUUUUUAAAACAUUGCAUUUCCUUACAACUCUGCCUUGGAAAUCCAAACAUACUUCUUUUAGUAGGGCGUUUACUACUAUGUAUUCAUGUGAUUCAUAGGAAAUAUGCCUCAGGCUAGUAGCUUUAAAGCUACUUUCAUUUCCCAAAUUCAACAGCUGUUCAGUCAGGACUAUUUAAAAACCAUUUACUUCUCCAUCAACAUUAUCGUUUGGGCUUGAACAAAAAAGUGCACCAUUUUACUGAUGAUGCUGAUAGUUAUCCUUGUAAUACCAAGUGGAUGUAACCUGUUUUGUACUUUAAAUUCUAGUUUCUGCCUGCUUUUCUCUUCUCUUCACCUUGGCUCUUUACACCACGUGACAUGUUGAAUUUAGUUGUUUUUAUUUCUGUUUAAUAAAUACAUUUAUUAACUGGUAGCUAAGUCAAGGCAUAGGUGGAGACUUUUUUGUUAGAAAAACACCUGGGAGAAAGGACUGAGAGAGCGGCAGCACCCCCCUCAACCUGCCGCAUGCGCUCUCGGAGUUUCUCAGUCAGAGUAAAGAGUCGUUGACAAGUGCGUGCACACGAGCACACACAGACAGCAGACUCACCGCUCAGGAGAAGAGCAGAAACAGAAACUGACUGCAGGGAGGAGGAUUUCCUGUUCACCUCCUUCAUUAGAAAAAAGGGGAGGAGGACAUUUUUCUUAAAGAGAGGAGCGGCUCCGAGCGCCAACAUGUCAUACCAUAAGGUGAGUGGUUGAGCCAGGUUGAGAUGCGGCGAGACCAAGUCCCCAUAAUUCGGUUCUGGAUAUGACGCAAACAAGGAAGUGGCAAACAUUGCAGUUCCACCAUCAUCCACUAGGGGCUGGCAUCAGAAGUGAGCAAAUCUUCAUUGACUCCCAUGUUAAAAACGUAACAGCAGAAAUAAACAUGUUUACAGCCUGGCCACAAAAACACAUUUUAGGUCUAAUAGAUCUAGUUUACACUCAUGCAUUUUUUGUUACUCUUCUAUUUAAGUGUAUUAAAUACUUAAAAAUCUGAAGGAUUUUUUCUGAAUGAGCAUCGUGACUUCAGAGCUAGCUCUGGAGAAAGGCGUUAGCCUCACGUUAAUAGAUGUUCGGCCUUUAUGACUCUCUGUGUGGUUGUGUUCGUGUUUGGAUGUAAAUCAUGGAAUUAUUUGGACAAAGAGAGAAAGCUGUGGUUAUUGACUGCACAAACAGAUUAACCAAGCAGUUUGUGCUGUUUUUUUAUCAGUAAGUAAAUGUAUAUUUCUGUACUUUACUUAGUUUUUUUUUAAUAGGGGAAUGCUGUGUCAUUUAACUGCUUGGUCAAACAUGUUGGUGGUGCUGCUGGCUGGAUAAGGAACUUGAGCUUGAAGCAAAACUGGAAAAAUUACAAUAUGGUGCAAAAGUCCAUUUAUUUCAGUAAUUCAACUAGACCGAGAGACCGUUUAAAGGCUCAUGAACCCUUUGGUUUUGCUUCAUAUAACACAGUGACAUUUAAAUAAUUAAAAAGCAUAUUUAUCUAUUUAUUUAUUUUAGAAAUUGAGAGCUUGCGUUUACAAAAAUAAUAUCCAUGUCUAAAGUUUGAUGUUCUGCCUCUUUAUUUUUAAUUAACCUUUCCACUGUCCUAUCAGGUGACCCUGCCAGGACAGGAGGUGGUUAAACUUGGUUUAAAUUUUAUCCCUUGGCAGGGAUGAAAUGAAAAUACACCAUACAUUAAACGCACGCUCCGUAAAAUGACGCCGUCAGGGUGAGGAGGAGGAGAUUUUAAAAUUCGAACGGCUGUUGCUCACUUCCCCGCCCUUCCUGAAAGAGCCGAAAGCCACACCUCCCAAUGUGCACGCGCAGGAAAAGCAGAGUCAACACCAGAGCAGCAUUGCUUCUUCGUAAUAGAGCUGAGCUAGUGUUAGCAAUGGAGUUAUCUGAGGUAAGAAAGUUGUAUUUAACCAGCACAUUAAACACUUACUGUUUACAAAAGGCAUUUUAUAAAGAAUAUCUAUAAAUAUAUUUUAAAAUACCAGUAACAGUUGACAAUCUAUAUUGUAAAUAAAAUUAAUCCUAUCAAAUUGUUAGCAUUU
ensembl:lncRNA